UGCGAGUUUGUGGCAGGGUGGCGGGUGUCGCAGGGAGGUUGGCAGGGUGGCUGUGUUCCGGGGAGGUGGGCCAGGGUGGCUGUGUGUCUCAGGAAGGUUGGCAGGGUGGCUGUGUGUCUAAGGGGGGUUGGCAGGGACAGUCUCUUGCAAAGUGUGGGUUCGGCACAUUGUCAGGCAGGGUAAGUGGUGGACCAAGGGUGCUUGAAGUGGGGACUGUCGGAGUUUCCACAGGGAUCUUUGGCAGGUGGGCCGGUGUGUCUCGAGGAAGGUUGGCAGGGUGGCUGUGUGUCUCAGGGAGGUGGCAGGGUGGCUGUGUGUCGCAGGAGGUUGGCAGGUGUCUAGGUGUUCUCAGGGAGGUGGCAGGUGGCUGUGUUCUAAGGAGGUUGGCAGGGUGGCUUUGUCUCAGGGAGGUUGGCAGGGGGGCUGUGUGUCUCAGGGAGGUGGCAGGGUGUGCCUGUGUUUCAUCAGGGAGGUUGGCAGGGGGGCUGUGGGUUUUCAGGGAGGUGUGGCAG
rnacentral:lncRNA from 1 species